UACGAAGGGGGCUAGCGUUGUUCGGGAUCACUGGGCGUAGAGGGCGCGUAGGCGGCCUGAUAAGUCGGGGGUGAAAGCCUGUGGCUCAACCACAGAAUUGCCUUCGAUACUGUCUGGCUUGAGACCGGAAGAGGUAAGUGGAAGAGCGAGUGUAGAGGUGAAAUUCGUAGAUAUUCGUAAGAACACCAGUGGCGAAGGCGGCUUACUGGUCCGGUUCUGACGCUGAGGCGCGAAAGCGUGGGGAGCAAACAGG
rnacentral:rRNA from 1 species